rnacentral:lncRNA from 1 species
CCCAUCCAAUCUUAAAUCAAACACUAAUCAAUUCAAAUGAGAAACCCUAGCUUCAUUUUACAUAUUCAGCCGUCAACAACACUCCCACUCUAUUUUCUCUAAAUCGGAACCCUAAUACCUUAUAAUUGAGGAAAGACAGUGGAUAUGACAAUGAAGGUCGAAUGUGAUAUCGUGAAUGUGGGUGUGCAUGGAAGGUGGCUGUUGAUGGUGGGUAAGAGCUGCGGAAAGAUGGAGGAAGCACCGGACACCGGAGUUUUGAGGAGGCGAUUCUGAUUCCAGGCGUUCUGUGUGACGUUGUGGGUUUGAAAUUCUGGUCGGCAAGGCCGGAUGGUGGUCAAUGAGUAGGCCACAACAUCUUAAUCAGCAAGUUCGUGCGCUAAGUUCGUGUGCUGGAGAUAGCAAUAGAAGUACCAACACUUGCCAUUAUUAAUCUUAAAGAUACUUCAAAUGAGCAGGACAACAAAGUUGGAUCAACAGUAAGUCCUACACUCCUACCAAAAAAGUAGCCGUGGAUCAACAGUUGUGCCUUGCUACCGCUGCUCAAGUAACAGUUGCAAACCCACCCAGUAUGGAUUUGGACCUACUUGUAGACACUACUUUCUAGAGAAGCGACCCCCAAGGUAUAUCUAGAGGUUUUUGUCAAAGGAUCAAUUAAAUGCUGCCGGAGCUUUUUUACAUGGGCUAGAGGAUGAAUAUUAUAAGGUGAUGGUCCGUUGAUGGGCUAAAAGGCAUUAGAACUGGCCACCAGUUACAAGUUUACUCACUACCACAACACGAGCAAGGUGGCCACCAGUCCAUGAAUGCAAAUUUGCAGCACUUUGAAGUCCAAAAGCAGUGAGUAUACAUGGACUCGAAGAAGGCAGUCUAGAAACAACUGUUAGAUUUUGUGUACAUUUAUUCUCCUUUGCAACUUUUGUAGAUAGGUUUUGAUUAGAAGUUAUGUCUUUCAUUGGUAUUUAAACUGAAAAGUUAUGUAUGGAUUUUUGGUUAUUAUUGUUAAUAUCAUUUGU